GGCUCAGAACGAACGCUGGCGGCGUGCCUAACACAUGCAAGUCGAACGAGAAAGUGGAGCAAUCCAUGAGUAAAGUGGCGACCGGGUGAGUAACACGUGACUAACCUACCCUAGAGUGGGGGAUAACUCCGGGAAACCGGGGCUAAUACCGCAUAACAUCGCGAGGGGCAGAUCCUUGCGAUCAAAGAAGCAAUUCGCUGAAGGAGGGGGUCGCGGCUGAUUAGCUAGUUGGUGAGGUAUUGGCCCACCAAGGCAGAGAACAGUAUCCGGCUUGAGAGGUCGCACGGACACACUGGAA
rnacentral:rRNA from 1 species